rnacentral:lncRNA from 1 species
UGGCUUUUAUGCGAGUGAAUGUUCUACUUCAGCUGAAUCUAUUGUGUAGUUCUAGAGGCUAGUGUCUUUUUAGUCUGCGGAUGUGUUCUGUACUGUCCAACAGUUGGGUCACCGGUGGGUUCGGGUGAUUGCUUACACGUGUAUUAUAUCUAUUGCUGUACUUUGAUAUUUCUCCUUUUAUUGUGAGUAUCUUUAGGUCGCGAUGGAUUGUUUCUCUGGUUACGUUUCACAGAGCGUUCAUUGAGAUUCAAUCAUUAAAAUUUAAAUUAAAAUUCAAUUAAUUGGUGCAGAAGAAAUAUCACCUUCAUUUCGCCUUCAAACAUCGUACAGUUAAUUACAGAUAACGUGAUGUAACAGUACGCAUAUCUACGUCACAAACUUGUAAAAUAUUCUGCCUUUGCAGCAAGAUAUACAAUAAUGAAACUGAAAAGAGCUUGAGCAUAAGAUUCAAAGAGCAUGAAACAUACACCAGAUUGGAUUACGUACAAUCGACCGUAACAGAGUACCAAAAGAAUGGAGUGGAGAAUGUAAGACUAAAACUACAGUCUAACAUCAACAGACAUAUUGAUCAUCGUCAGUUUAACAUCAUCUGAGAUACGUUUCCAAAAUUUGUUAGCUAUACCACUUAGACUCUUUUAUACUUCUAUUCAAUUGGCACUUUUGAAUAUCUUUAGAACCGUAGAAUAACACUCGAUAAUCGUUGAACGAACGAUGAACUAAACUAUUGACGACGCAAACAGUAAGUACUUAAAUUGAAAAGGUCAUCAAAACACGGGUGUAUAAAGUUCUCGUCUUAAUUUUCUCAUAAAAUUCAGAACUUGUCUGUUUUUUUAACGUUAGCUAGAACGUUACCUGCUUUUUCUCUCUGCCAUAUUUUUAGAGGUUUGAUUUAAAAUUAAAGUAACCAUAACUCUUUAUCCCUCACGCUUAAAAUUCAUUGCAACCAAUCUGGCCCCUGCUGUAGUUAUCCGAAGAAUAUAAAUUGGAAAUGACGAUUAAAAAUUUAUUGUUUCGUUAUUAGUAUCCAUUAGCGACAACCGAUUAUUAUUACAAACUUCUAUUAUGACUUUAGUAUCGUCGAUAGGACAAAAUUGUUAUUUUCCCUUAAACGCGAAUUCUUUCAAAUCUAUCAAAAACAUUUACUCAACUGACGAUUAUUUUUAAAUCUAGUCGCACGAUUAUCUUUGUAUUUUAAUGACGGUACGCCAGUUGAAUAAUUAGUUGUUCCCCUUA